rnacentral:rRNA from 1 species
GGUGAACGCUGGCGGUCUGCUUAACACAUGCAAGUCGAGCGGGGAACCUCGGUUCCUAGCGGCGGACGGGUGAGUAACGCGUGAGAACCUGCCCUCAGGUUGGGGACAACAGCUGGAAACGGCUGCUAAUACCCAAUGUGCCAAUGGUGAAAGAUUUAUCGCCUGAGGAUGGGCUCGCGUCCGAUUAGCUAGUUGGAGUGGUAACGGCACCCCAAGGCGACGAUCGGUAGCUGGUCUGAGAGGAUGACCAGCCACACUGGGACUGAGACACGGCCCAGACUCCUACGGGAGGCAGCAGUGGGGAAUUUUCCGCAAUGGGCGCAAGCCUGACGGAGCAAGACCGCGUGGGGGAGGAA